CACCAGCAUUUAUAUUUGUUCAGUUGUGUCCAAUUCUUUAGGAUUUUCUUGUUAAAGACACUAGACUGGCUUGCCAUUUCCCACUUCCAUUCAUUUUACAGAUAAGGAAACUGAAGCAAACAGGAUUAAGUGACUUGCCCAGGGUCACACAGUUAAUAAGUGUCCAAAGUCAAGUCAUAAUUUAACAUCAAGGAACAUCAAGGAAGAUGUUUUAUUGAUUUUAAAACCAUUUCUCUGUCCACUGCACUUCCCUAGUUACCCCAAUAUUUAUAUAGUGCCUACUAUGUGCCAGUACUGUUCUAAGCUCUUUUCAAAUAUAAUCUCCAUUGGUCUUCACAACACUCUGAGGCAGGUGCUAUAAUUAUCUCCACUUUACAAUUAUGUCCAAUUAUUUGUGACUCCAUUUGAGUUUUCUUGGCAGAAAUGCUGAAGUGAUUUGAUUUGCCAUUUCCUUCUCCAGUUCAUUCUUUUGUGGAUGAAAGCAUAUUUAUUUCCCAGUAUUCUCUUUUUAAAAACAUAUAUUUAUUUAUUUAAUAUUUUUCCCCGUUACAUUCAAAACAAUUUUCAUUUACAUUUGUUUUUAAGAUUUUUGAGUUCUAGGUUGUCUCUCCUAUACACACCCACAAUUAAAAAACCAUAUAUGAAGUUAUGUAUACCAUUUCUGUAACAGUCAAGCUGUGAAAGAAAACAUAGAUCUCUCAACCUAAUGAAAAUAAAAACCCUCAAGAAAAAUUAAGUUUAAAAUAAAGAGAUAGAGAGAGUAAUAGAGAAUUCUUCGACCUAUAUUCAGACUUGAUCAGUUGUUUUUCUGGAUAUGGAUAGGAUUUUUCAUUGUAACUCCUUCAGACUAAGUGUAGAUGAUUGUACUAUUAAGAAUAUCAAAGUCAUUUACAGCUGGUCAUCCCAGAACAUUGCUAUUACUUUGUAUACAAUAUAUUUCACUUUGUUCAUGGAGGACUUUCCAGGUUUUUUUUUUCCUGAGAGCCUUUUGCUCAUCAUUUCCCAAAGAACAAUAAUAUUCCAUUAGAGAAACUUGCUUCAAAAUUUUUUUUACAAUUUCUAUUUCUAAUUGUAUUUCCCCUCAUUUAUUCUCUCUUUCCUUUUAUCCUAUUCCUUCUCAAAAAGUCAGAACAUUGCUAUUACUUUACAUAAAAUAUAUUUCACUUUGUUCAUGGAGGACUUUACAAGGUUUUUUUUUUCCCUGAGAGCCUUCUGUUCAUCAUUUCCCAAAGAAUAAUAAUAUUCCAUCAGAGAAACUUGCUUCAAAAAAUUUUUUACAAUUACUAUUGCUAAUUGUAUUUCCCCCCAUUUAUUUUCUCUUUCCUUUCAUCCUAUUCCUUCUCUCUUUUAUCACCCUCCCCACUUCUCACAUCCCAUUCCCUUCCUCUUUUCCUGCAAGUUAAGACAGAUUUCUAUACCCCUAUUGAAAAUGUAUAUUAUUUUCUAUUUGAGCCAAUUCUGUUGAGAGUAAGAGCCAUUCAUUCCUCCUCUCCUCCCCCUCUUCUCAACUGAAAAAACUUUUUCUUGCUUCUUUUCUUGCAUCAUUCUACUUCUCCAUUUCCCUUUCUCCCAGUAUAUUCUUCUCUUACUUUUAUCAUUAAAAAAAGAUAUUAUCCCUUCAUAUUUAACUCACACCCAUACCUUCUGUCUAUAGAUACUUCUAACUGCCAUAAUAAUGAGAAUGUUUUAAUCCUCCCAUGUAGGAAUGUAAACAUAUAAACCUUAUUAAGGUUAAUAAUUUUCCUGAUUACCUCCUUAUGUUUCUCCAAAGUCCUGUAUUUGAAAAUCAAAUUUCCCAUUUAGCUCUGGUCUUUUCAUCAUUAAUUCUUGAAAAUUUUCUGUUUCAUUAAAUGACCAUCUUUUUCUCUAAUGGAUUAUACUCAGUUUUGCUGGGUUGGUGAUUCUUGGUUGUAGUUCUAGUUCCCUUGUUCUCUGCAAUAUAUUUCAAGUCCUUUGGUCCUUUAAUAUAAAAGUGGUUAAAUCUUGUGUUAUCCUGACUAUGGCUCCACUAUACUUGAAUUGUUUCUUUCUGGAUGCUUGCUUAUUUUACCUUGACCUGGGAGUUCCAGAAUUUGACUAUUAUAUUCUUGGGAGUUUUUAUUUGGGGAUCACUUUCAGGAAAUAAUUGGUGAAUUCUUUCACUUUCUAUUUUACUUUUUGGUUCUAGAAUAUCAGGACAAUUUUCCUUGAUCAUUUCUUGAAAAAUGACAUCUAGGCUCUUUUUCUGAUCAUGACUUUCAGGUAGACCAAUAAUUUUUAAAUUCUCUGUCCCGAAUCUAUUUUCCAAGUCAGGUGAUUUUCCAAUAGGAUAUUUCACAUUUUUUCCUAUUUUUUCCCUUUUUUGGUUUUGCAUUAUUGUAUCUUGAUUUCUCAUAAAUUCAUUGGAUUCCAUUUGCUCGAUUCUAGUUUUUUAAAAGAAAAUUAUUUUCCUCAGUGAGCUUUUGUACUUCCUUUCCCAAUUAGCCAAUUUUGCUUUUUAAGGUAUUCUUGCCCUCAUUAGUUUUUUUUUUUUUUGUAUUUCCUUUUGCACCCCUCUCAAUUCUUUCCCUAAUUUUUCCUCUAUCUCUCUUAGUUGAUUUUCAAAGUUCUUUUUGAGCUUUUCUCUAGGCUAUACCCAAUUCUUAUUUUUCUUGGAGGCUUCAGAGAAUCUUUGGAUUCUCAAGCUCUAAAAUUUGUCUAGAGUCAUUAUUUAAAGGAAUUUGGAGCAGUUUAGGGAAGAGCUUGGGCAAGUUCCUGCCUUUUCUUCACUGCCAUGGCUCCAGCUCCUCGAGUUCAUUUUACAGAUGAGAAAACUGAAGCCAAAAGAAGUAAUUUGGCUUGAAGUAGGAUUUGAAUUCAAGUCUUCCUGGCCUCAGGCCCAAGCUCUAUCCAGAUCCUAGCUGCUUAUCAGUCAUAACAUAAUAGCAUAAAUGAGUCCAGAAGCAAAUGGUGGUGCAAUAAAUAAAAUUCUGGACCUAAGUUCAAAUCCUCCCUCAGGGAUUUACUACCAAAUUAUUAUUCUAAUGAGAAUAUUGAUGUUAAUAAUUUAGUGAGAUUAAAUUAUUUUCUCAUGCUCUUCAAGUUUGGAAUCAUGAUUAAAAAAAACAACUUUAUUUCUGUGGGUUUGUAGUGUAAGAUGGAGAAGGGAAAUGAUGGGGUUCAUAGAAUGCUUUUAAAACUAAAAAAGAUCUAAGAUCAUUGAAUUCAUCAUUUCUUAUAGUAUAGAAGUAUUUCAUCACAGUUAUAUACCACAACUUGUUAAUCCAUUCCACAGUUGAUGGGUAUUCUAAUAAUUUCCAGUUCUUUGUCACCUCAAAGAAGGCUGCUAUAAACAUUUUUAGAACAUAGAUAUUCUUUUCCUUUUUUCCUAAUCAUCUUUGGAAAAAGACCUAGUAGUGGUAUAGGUUAUUUUGACUGUAAUAAAUACACAAAUUGGCUAUAAAGGACAAAUAAAGGACACUAUCUACAUCAAGAAAAAGAACUGAUAAAUAGAAGUACAUAUAGAAUAAUUUUACAUAUCUCUCUCUUUUUCUCAAUACUAUUUGUAUCUAAUGCAAGACAUCUCUGAAAUAGGGAGAAGGGAAAAAAAGAAUAAAAAGGAAAAAGAAAUUUACAUGAUAUCUUUAUUAUAUUUCUAAAAGGAAUAUCAAGUUGUACAUAAUAGAUCUGCAGUUUCGUGUGCAGUCAUCUUUUUAUUAUUUUGGUACAGAAUGCUUGCUUGUUUUAUUUCAUAAAUAUAAAAUAAAAUAAAUUUAAAAAAACUAAAGUGAGCUCUCAAUUUUUAUUCAGUGAGCCUCAUGAAUCUAAAUGAAAAUGGGAAGAGCCAAGUGCUUUGGGAUGCAAAUCAUGCUCAUUAUCAAACAGGAAACCCUUUAAGAAAUAUAUAAUAGAAAAACCAUCAAGAGAGGGAGAAAAAAAGCAAAUUUCUUUACUAGCUCUAUAGAGAGAAGUGUCUGGGAGCAUGGAGUCCAGAACUAGCUUAUUAUACUUUCUUCCUCUCUCUUUCUCCCCAUCUCCCUUUCUCUCCUCCCUUUCCUCCAAAGAAAGCAGCAGAUCUAAUUGUAGGAUCUCAGGAUCUUUACAUUGGAGGAAUACUGAUAAGCAAAUAUACAAUGCAGAUGUCUGAACGAGAUACUAGUUUCUGAACUUCAGGAAAGAGAUGCAUAAAUUCUCAAUCAGGACUUCAUCAUGUCCCUGCCACAUGCCUUCCCUUUCUUAUUUUUCUCAUUCUUUCUCUUUUUAUGUGUUAUUCCCAUUUUCAACAUUAGAUUGUGAGCUUCUUUAAAGCAAGGAAUUUUUUUUUAAUCUUUUCUUGUAUCCCAGCACUCACUAUAAUGCCCGAGUGCUUAAUAAAUGUUUAUUGACUAACUAAAAUUUCCACCAUCAAGGUUACUACUUUGUAUUAAAAGCAAUGUAUCUACAAUUACCAAUUAAAAUAGAAAUGCAUUAUUUGGAGAGAAUAAAAUUGUAUAUAUUUCUAAUGAGUCUUGAAGAUCCAAAAUAUAGAAGACAGGCUGGGAGGGAAUACCAAAAGAUAUGUGUAAAUGGGGUGGGUGGGUGGAAGAUAGAGAUUGGGAAGAAACCUAUAAAGGAUGAUGAGGGGAAAUUCAUAAUAAAUUCUAGUUCAUGAUGUUACUCAAAGCUAACAUAGCUUAAAGAAUUAUAGAAAAGGAACAUGAGAUCAUUGAAUCCCAUCCCUUCAUUUUAUAGAUGAGGAAAACAAAAGCCCAGAAAAGUAAAAUAAGGAGCAAUCACAUUGAUUCAACAGAUGGGUAAACUGAGGCAAACAGGGUAAAGAGACUUGCCCAGUCACACAGUUAAUGAGUGAGGCUGGAUCUGAACAAAGAAAGAUGGGUCUUUCUGACUCCAACCUGAUGCUCUUUUCACUGUGCAGCCCAGUGCCGGUAUGUGUGCAUGCAUAGGAGUAUGUGGAUGUGUAAAUAUAUUUGUGUGUUUACAUAGACAUAUAUAUGUGUAUACAUCUGUGCGUACUGGAGAGUCUCAGAAAGAAGGCACUAUGAUUAAGGAAGACAAGGGAAGGCUUCAAGCAGAAGUGGGAUUGUAGCUGAGAGAGAGGGAAAGGGAGAAGGGAGGGAAGGAGAGAGAAGAGAAGGGAGAGAAGGAGGGGGAGACAGAGAGAGACAGACAGACAGACUGACAGACAGACACAAGAGACACAGAGAGACAGAGACAAAGACAGAGAUAGAGACAGAGAGACAAAGACAGACACAGAGACACAGAGAGACAAAGGCAAAGAGAUAGAGAGACAGAGACAGAGACAGAGAGAGGGAGAUCAGGUCUGGGAAAUAGUCAAUAAAAAUACUGGGAGCUGGGAAAUGCAAUGCAUUAUGAGAAAAACAAUUAGGAGAGUUGUUGGCACAUGAAGAUAAGGUCAAAGAAGACCAAAAAGACAGGAAAGUACCAGUUUAUUAAGAACUUUAAAAGCCAAACUGAGGAAUUAAAUGUUUGUUUCCCUCUGACAGAUUUCCUAGGUGUCAAAUGGUGAAAAGAGAACAAAUUCUGUAGUUUCCCUAUUUGAAUCUGGACUUGAUGGCAGAGGCUCUCCGGUGAUUGGCUUCCUGAUGACAAAGAUAGCUCCCCAACAAUGACUUAAUCCAUUAAUAAAGAUGCGGCGGCUCAGGGAGGUUGGGAUUUGCCAGAGAAUGAUUGUGGCGUGACUUUCUGGGACUACACUGAGCCGGAGAAGGAGACCAUGAGAAAUUCAGACUGAGCUUGGCCAGCAGGGAGAGGGAGCUGUCUGUUAAGAGUCAAAGUGCCUGAGAAUCCAUAUGUCUAUCAAAAGAAUUUCCACUGGGGGAAAAGCAAGCAUUUCUAAGGGUUCUAUUUGGGAUUUCUUUUAUUUUUCUUCCAGGUUUGUAUAACAUUCAUCUUUUUUUUAUUUUUGUGAAGGGAGUCACUGUCACCAAGUGAGCUGUGGUCAGAUGGUAAUUUCUUCACAUUUUCUAGGUAAAAGCUGGAGAAAUGAGAAACUGCCAAAAGUAAAUCUGUGUCCUUCAUUUUAUGAGUCUCUAGCUUACAUGAACUUUAUUUUUUUUAAUUGUAGUUUGUGGGCAAUUUGGGGUUAAUUGACUUGCCUAGGACCAUAUAGUAAGUGUCAAUUAUCUGAAGUUGGAUUUGUAUUCAGGAUCUCCUGACCCUAAGGCCAACGUUCUAUCCACUGUACCGAUCUAGUUGCCCUUAAAUGGACUUUUAAUUACAAUUUUUAAAUUAAAUGUUUAAAAUUAUUGUACACAUAUAACCUGUAUCAGAUUGUCUUGAGAAGGGGGAGGUAAGAGAGAGGGGGGGGAAUUUGGAACUCAAAAUCUUACAAAAAUGAAUGUUGAAAACUGUCUUUACAUGUAAUUGGGGAAAUAAAACACUAUUAAAAACUCUGAUUAAGCACCUAGUAUGUAUAAAGAGAAAAGAAGCAGUCACAAGGCCUAGAGCCUCAGUACUAACUCUGACAUACUAUUGCUGUGGGACAGCAGGCAAGUCCCACACAAUGCUCCCAAUUCCUCCUUAGGAUGACAACUUGUAGAUAAGUUACCACUUUCAUUGGUAGAGAGAGUUUCCUAAUGGGCAGUUCAUUAUAUAAAUAAAAGGCAGAAACAGAGACAGAGAGAAACAGAGAUAAAAAGAGAGACAGACAGAGACAGAGAGAAAUAGAGUGACAGAGACAGAGAGAAAGAAGAGAGACAGAAACAGAGUUAGAGAGAGAGAACAAGCACACCUGAGAAAUCAGGAAGUCAGGAAGUCUGGGGUACAAGUUCUACAUCUGAUAAAUAGUAGCUAUGUGACCAUGCACAAGUCAUUUUUCAGUGCCCCAGAGAGUUUUCUAAGACUCUCAGGGGUCCUCAAACAACAGCCCGCGGGCAGCUGAGGACAAUUAUCCCCCUCACCCAGGGCUAUGAAGUUUCUUUAUUUAAAGGCCCACAAAACAAAGUUUUUGUCUUUACUAUAGUCCGGCCCUCCAACAGUCUGAGGGACAGUGAACUGACCCCCUAUUUAAAAAGUUUGAGGACCCCUGCAAGUUAUAGAAGAAUUGCCGGUGCAUCCAGGUAGGGAGUCCUCAGCCUGACAGAAUCACUGUCCAGACUUAAAAUCAUAAAUAUUAAUUUAUGUCUCAACAUUCCAACUCAGAAACUGGACCAUCAAGAUGGUUAGGAAAAAAUAAUCUAAGCCAUGAAUUAGUCAUCAAUCUGCUCCAUUUGGUAAAGGAAAUAUGGUGUGUAUUGUGAUGCUUCCUCUUAAAAAAAAAAUCACACUGUAUUUUGUAAAGGAUUUGUUUACAAAAACAAUAUGGCUCUUGAUCUCAAGGAGUUUUGCUUCUACUGGGGAGGGGUGACACAUUAUAACAUUCUCAUUUAAGUAAAUGAAAAUUUAACUAUUAAAUUAACAUUUAUAAAGAAAAAUUUUAUUCUAGGAAGAUAGGAAACUAGAAUCACUCAUCUGCAAGUAUUGACAUAUGUGUGUUCCUCAAAUAAAUUUUUCAGAAUGUAUAGCAUUUUCCCAGAGUUUGUACAAUAGCCAAGGUUAUUCUGUCAAGUUCUAUCUCCAUCAAAAGACAAAAUCCCUGGGACUCCAUCUGAGCCAGUAGCCAAGAGCCGGACAGAUUGACUGUCAAAUGAAGCAGUCCCAGAUGGGCCCCUUCGCACACUGCAGUCGUUGACAGCCAGCUCUCUCAAGGAGCUGAUUUAACAUCAAGUGUGCUCAUUCUAAGAGGCUUUCUAAUGCUGACUUUUUAAACUCAAGGUCACUGCCAAUUGAUGUAGGAUCCCUGUUUUGUGUUAGUAAAAAUACUGGAAGGAAAAUGAGAGCUUAAUGAUCAGAGGAGGUGGAACAAAUGAACAACUUUGCCAUGUUAAUGUACUAUUUUUUAAAAAUGAGAAAUUCAGAGAAACAUGGGAUGAACUGCAUGAAUUUUUAGGGAAGAGGUCUUAUAUGCCCCCUUAUAUAAACUAAUGCAGAGUGAAGAAAGCAGAAUCAGAACUAUGUUCACAAUGAUGACAAUAACAUUCACAAAUGAUGAGAGCAAUCAAAGGCUGUCCCACCAAGACUAAUUGUAAUGAAAAAUUUUAGCCUCUGGAGAAUAGAUAAUUAAAUGCUUUAUUCCUCCCAGUAGAGAGAUAGGGACCCAAGGGGAUGGAAUACUGUAAACAUUAUCAUAUGCAUCGGUUUUAUGGGUCAGAUUGCUUGACUUUUUCUUUGAAAGAUUCAAUGGGGACUUGUCUUUGAAAAUGAAUGUCAUGUAAAAUGAAAACAAAAACCAUUGUAAAUGAAAAUUUUUUUAGGACCUAACAAUGGCAGUCUUAUAGUUAUGAGGAAAUUUAGUGGCAUGGGAAAAAGAGCAGUGGUUCUGGAAGUAGGAAGGUCUCAGUCCAAAAUAACAGGCUUAUAUACUCAUUAGAUCUGUGAUCAUGAACAAAUUUCUUAGCCUUAAUUUCCUCAUCUGUAUAAUGGAAAUAAUAAUAGCUCCUUAGGGUUGUAAUGAUAUUAAAAUGAGGUAAUAUUUAUAAAACAUUUUUCAAAUCUUAAAAUGCUAUAAAAUUAUUAUUAUUUUUAUUAUUUAUUUUAUUAUAUAAAUAGUAUUUAUUACUAUUAGUCUAUUUACAGAUCAGGAAACCAAGGCCCGAAAAAGUUAACUGUGCAAGAUCAUACAUGGUAAGUAGUUGAAUUUAGAUUU
rnacentral:lncRNA from 1 species